AAUCAGUUCUAUCUGACACUAACUCACCGAGACAACUACACUAACUAUCGGGACUAAAACAAUUUGACUACAUAGUUCAUAGCGCGGUUUGUUUACCAAAGCAACCUUGACACCAGGUACCAACGAAGAAUAGAGAACGAUCUUAUGCAUGAAAUCUAUUUAAAGCCAUAUGGAUGAUAAUUGAUGAUCAUAGUUUCAUACUAUUCAAAUAUAAUAAUUUUAAUAUUA